GACGAACGCUGGCGGCGUGCUUAACACAUGCAAGUCGAACGGAAAGGCCCUGCUUUUGUGGGGUGCUCGAGUGGCGAACGGGUGAGUAACACGUGAGUAACCUGCCCUUGACUUUGGGGUAACUUCAGUAAACUGGGGCUAAUACCGGAUAGGAGCUCCUGCUGCAUGGUGGGGGUUGGAAAGUUUCGGCGGUUGGGGAUGGACUCGCGGCUUAUCAGCUUGUUGGUGGGGUAGUGGCUUACCAAGGCUUUGACGGGUAGCCGGCCUGAGAGGGUGACCGGCCACAUUGGGACUGAGAUACGGCCCAGACUCCUACGGGAGGCAGCAGUGGGGAAUAUUGCACAAUGGGCGGAAGCCUGAUGCAGCAACGCCGCGUGCGGGAUGACGGCCUUCGGGUUGUAAACCGCUUUCGCCUGUGACGAAGCGUGAGUGACGGUAAUGGGUAAAGAAGCACCGGCUAACUACGUG
rnacentral:rRNA from 1 species